rnacentral:rRNA from 1 species
UAUUAAGUUAAGCACUCUAACGAGACUGCCGCGGUUAACGUGGAGGAAGGUGGGGAUGACGUCAAAUCAUCAUGCCCCUUAUGUCUAGGGCUACACACGUGCUACAAUGGCUGGUACAACGAGCAGCAAACCCGCGAGGGGGAGCAAAACUUGAAAGCCAGUCCCAGUUCGGAUUGUAGGCUGAAACUCGCCUACAUGAAGUUGGAGUUGCUAGUAAUCGCGAAUCAGCAUGUCGCGGUGAAUACGUUCCCGGGUCUUGUACACACCGCCCGUCACACCAUGAGAGCCGGUAACACCCGAAGCCCGUGAGGUAACCGUAAGGAGCCAGCGGUCGAAGGUGGGAUUGGUGAUUGGGGUGAAGUCGUAACAAGGUAGCCGUAGGAGAACCUGCGGCUGGAUCACCUCCUUUCUAGGGA